CACGGAAUUAGCCGGUCCUUAUUCAUGCGGUACAUGCAAAUAGUCACACGUGACUAACUUUAUCCCCGCAUAAAAGCAGUUUACAACCCAUAGGGCCGUCAUCCUGCACGCUACUUGGCUGGUUCAGACUCACGUCCAUUGACCAAUAUUCCUCACUGCUGCCUCCCGUAGGAGUUUGGACCGUGUCUCAGUUCCAAUGUGGGGGACCUUCCUCUCAGAACCCCUACUGAUCGUUGCCUCGGUGAGCCGUUACCUCACCGACAAGCUAAUCAGACGCAUCCCCAUCCAUCACCAAUUAAUCUUUCAUCCAAAUUAGAUGCCUGCUUCGGAUGACAUAAGGUGUUAGGCCGACUUUCGACGGGUUAUCCCUUAGUCAUGGGUAGGUUGGAUACGCGUUACUCACCCGUGCGCCGGUCGCCAUCAACGAUUGCAAGCAAUCAUCAUGCUGCCCCUGACUUGCUAUGUGUUAGGCCUGUAGCUAGCGUUCA
rnacentral:rRNA from 1 species